rnacentral:rRNA from 1 species
GCUCCCUCGCGCCACUCAGACUCCUACGGACGGGCGAGGCAGUGGGGAAUCGUUGCGCAAUGGACGAAAGUCUGACGCAGCGACGCCGCGUGGGUGAUGAAGGCCUUCGGGUUGUAAAGCCCUGUGGGGAGAGGACGAAUAAGUGCCGCCUAAUACGUUGCAUGAUGACGGUAUCUCCUUAGCAAGCACCGGCUAACUCUGUGCCAGCAGCCGCGGUAAUUC